AUUGAACGCUGGCGGCAGGCUUAACACAUGCAAGUCGAGCGGAGAGAGGUAGCUUGCUACCGAUCUUAGCGGCGGACGGGUGAGUAAUGCUUAGGAAUCUGCCUAUUAGUGGGGGACAACAUUUCGAAAGGAAUGCUAAUACCGCAUACGUCCUACGGGAGAAAGCAGGGGAUCUUCGGACCUUGCGCUAAUAGAUGAGCCUAAGUCGGAUUAGCUAGUUGGUGGGGUAAAGGCCAACCAAGGCGACGACCUGUAGCGGGGCUGAGAGGAUGAUCCGCCACACUGGGACUGAGACACGGCCCAGACUCCUACGGGAGGCAGCAGUGGGGAAUAUUGGACAAUGGGCGCAAGCCUGAUCCAGCCAUGCCGCGUGUGUGAAGAAGGCCUUAUGGUUGUAAAGCACUUUAAGCGAGGAGGAGGCUACUUUAGUUAAUACCUAGAGAUAGUGGACGUUACUCGCAGAAUAAGCACCGGCUAACUCUGUGCCAGCCGCCGCAGUAAAAC
rnacentral:rRNA from 1 species